UACGUAGGGGGGCAAGCGUUGUCCGGAUUCAUUGGGCGUAAAGAGCGUGUAGGCGGCCAGGCAGGUCCGCUGUGAAAACUCGAGGCUCAACCUCGAGAUGUCGGUGGAAACCGUCUGGCUAGAGUCCGGAAGAGGAGAGUGGAAUCCUGGUGUAGCGGUGAAAUGCGCAGAUAUCAGGAAGAACACCAAUGGCGAAAGCAGCUCUCUGGGACGGUACUGACGCUGAGACGCGAAAGCGUGGGGAGCGAACAGG
rnacentral:rRNA from 1 species